AUGUGUGAUCAAUGGAGGCAAGCUCACCUCGGUGUCUUUGGCUCUGAGGAGGCACUCCCUGGCGACCCUGAGCCGCUCCUCGACCCACGUCCGGAGGAAGCCGACCACGACGGACUCGACAUCGUAGGGCACCACCUCCCGCACCACCGGCUCGCCGUCGUCGUCCGCCACCAUCUGCACCAGGGCCUUCUCGAGCCUGCCCGCCGCGUGCAGCACGCGCACCAGCUCGUCGGUCAGGCAGACGGCCUUGCCCAGGUACUGCUUCAGCACCACGCCGUAGCAGCCGUGCAGGGUCACCGCGGCCACCGCCGCCGGGAACGGGUGCCACCGCCUCAGCUCCCGGCUGAAGCACUCGCGCUCCCACUGGGCCAGCUCCUCCGUGUCCUUGGCGAGCUGCGUCAGGAUCCCGCUGGUGUCGUCCACGUCGCGCUGGUGGCCGGAGACCAUGCCGUGCUCCUGCCCGAGCCCGCUCUCCAGGACCUUGGUGAAGGCGCUUCUCAUCGAGCAACGGAUGUAGUAAUCGACGCGAUCGCCGCCGCAUUCGUGAUCCGUGUGCACACUUUCGGCGAUGAUCUUGCCCGCGCCGAGCGCCAAAGACAGAGCGCACUCCAACGCCGCGGUGCCGGUGCCGGUGCCGCCAUUCCCGUACCACUCGUGGUAGUCAAGCAGGCGCUUCUCGGACCAGUCACGUAUCGCGCCAAGAGCGGUGGAGAAGACCCGCGCGUACACGGGGUCACGGGGGUUGUCCUGCCUGGCGCCGGCGUCAGCGGCCACCUCCGCGAGCACCGCGAGCGCCGCGCCGGCGAGGUCCGGCUCGACCUGCCCGGUGGCCACGUACUGCUGGAAGAGGACCCAGGCGAAGCACACGUUGUGCAGCAUCCGGUUGAUGCCGAGCGUCGCCCACGUCCUCCUCAUGAGCUCCAGGAGCUCGUCCACCUCGUCGAGCACGACGGUCUCGUCCCUGAGGUCGAAGAUGCCCUGGAGGAGGGAGACGUAAAGGAGCACGUUGAGAGGGUACCCGUCGGCCCAGUGGCAGGCCUCGCCGGCGGGGGCGGAGCGCCAGGCGAGCGCGAGCACGGCGUCGCAGAGGGCGCGCAUGGCGUCGGAGGCCUUGCCGGUGUCGAUGGCGCGGGCCUCGGCUGCCUCCACGACCUCGCGGAACCGGAGCACGGAGGCGCUGUGGCGGUGGUCGAGCGGGACAGAGCUGUGCGUGAUGAGGCCCGCCUCGAGGAGCUUGAGCUGGCGGCGCUGCCACUGGUGGUGCUCGGCGCCGUCGGCAAAGUCGGGCAGCUUGAGCUGCCGCAGCAGCUCCAGCGGCAGGAUGAUCGUCUCCGCUCUUCUGCCCACCUGCAUUGCGAUUCAGAAGGAUCAUGGCAUGAGCUCGAAAUCUCGAACACAUGCAUUGCGCGCAACCGGCGCGUCAAUGGAGGUGCAAGCAUGAACGGACCUGUCCGACGAGGGUGCGCAUGA
rnacentral:rRNA from 1 species